AAACAUGGCCUUUUGAUUAUAAUUUAAGGUNUGACCUGCGCCAUGAGUAUUUAAAUGGCCGCGGUAUUUUGACCGUGCAAAGGUAGCAUAAUCAUUAGUUUUUUAAUUGAAAGCUGGAAUGAAAGGUUUGAUGAGAAAAUAACUGUCUCUAUUUAAAUUUUUUAGAAUUUUAUUUUUAAGUAAAAAAGCUUAAAUAAAAAUAGAAGACGAGAAGACCCUAUAGAGUUUUAUUAAAUUUUUAUUAUGAAAUUAGAAGAAUUUAAUUUUUUAUAGGAAAUUUUAAUUUGGUUGGGGUGAUUAAAAAAUUAAAAGAACUUUUUUUUUAUAUAAACAUUAAUUUAUGAAAAUUUGAUCCUUUAUUUGAGAUUAGAAGAUUAAAUUACCUUAGGGAUAACAGCGUAAUUUUUUUUGAGAGUUCAAAUCGAAAGAAAAGUUUGCGACCUCGAUGUUGGAUUAAAAUAAAAUUUUGGUGUAGAAGCUAAAAUAUUUAGGUCUGUUCGACCUUUAAAAUUUUACUUGAUCU
rnacentral:rRNA from 1 species